rnacentral:rRNA from 1 species
UGGCUCAGAUUGAACGCUGGCGGCAUGCUUUACACAUGCAAGUCGAACGGUAACAGGGAGCUUGCUCCGCUGACGAGUGGCGAACGGGUGAGUAAUAUAUCGGAACGUACCCAAGAGUGGGGGAUAACGUAGCGAAAGUUACGCUAAUACCGCAUACGAUCCAAGGAUGAAAGCAGGGGAUCUUCGGACCUUGUGCUCCUGGAGCGGCCGAUAUCUGAUUAGCUAGUUGGUGAGGUAAAGGCUCACCAAGGCGACGAUCAGUAGCUGGUCUGAGAGGACGACCAGCCACACUGGAACUGAGGCACGGUCCAGACUCCUACGGGAGGCAGCAGUGGGGAAUUUUGGACAAUGGGCGCAAGCCUGAUCCAGCAAUGCCGCGUGAGUGAAGAAGGCCUUCGGGUUGUAAAGCUCUUUUGUCAGGGAAGAAACGGGAGUGGCUAAUAUCCAUUCUUAAUGACGGUACCUGAAGAAUAAGCACCGGCUAACUAUGUG